rnacentral:rRNA from 1 species
UACGGGGGGAGCAAGCGUUGUUCGGAUUUACUGGGCGUAAAGGGCGCGUAGGCGGCGCAACAAGUCACUUGUGAAAUCUCCGGGCUUAACCCGGAGCGGCCAAGUGAUACUGUCGUGCUAGAGUGCGGAAGGGGCUACUGGAAUUCUCGGUGUAGCGGUGAAAUGCGCAGAUAUCAGGAGGAACACCGGUGGCGAAGGCGGGUCUCUGGGCCGAUACUGACGCUGAGGAGCGAAAGCGUGGGGAGCGAUCCGG